UGGCUGAGCGGUAAAGCGCCCGGAUUCCAAACCGGGGGUUCCAGGUUCGAAUCCUGG
rnacentral:tRNA from 1 species